GUGCUCACUUCAGCAGCAAAUAUACUAAAAUUCGAACAAAACAGAGAAGAUUAGUAUGGCCCCUACCCAAGGAUAACAAGCAAAUUCAUGAAGCAUUCCAUAUUUUU
ensembl:snRNA U6 U6 spliceosomal RNA